CAAUAGCGUAUAUUAAAGUUGUUGCAGUUAAAAAGCUCGUAGUUGGAUUUCUGGUGGGAGCGAUCGGUCUGGCGCUUAGCGCGAGUACUUGCAUCGUCUCCGGCCAUCCUUGGGGAGAGUCUGUCUGGCAUUAGGUUGUCGGGCAGAGGAUCCUCAUCGUUUACUGUGAAAAAAUUAGAGUGUUCAAAGCAGGCUUAUGCUGUUGAAUACAUUAGCAUGGAAUAAUAAGAUAGGACUUUGGUACUAUUUUGUUGGUUUGCGCACCAAAGUAAUGAUUAAUAGGGACAGUUGGGGGUAUUCGUAUUCCGUUGUCAGAGGUGAAAUUCUUGGAUUUACGGAAGACGAACUACUGCGAAAGCAUUUACCAAGGAUGUUUUCAUUA
rnacentral:rRNA from 1 species